GAUGAAGAACGUAGCGAAAUGCGAUACGUAAUGUGAAUUGCAGAAUUCAGUGAAUCAUCGAAUCUUUGAACGCAUAUUGCGCUCUCUGGUAUUCCGGAGAGCAUGCUUGUUUGAGUAUCAGUAAACACCUCAACUCCCUUUUCUUUUUUGAAAUGGGAGCUGGACUUGAGUGAUCCCAACACUUUUCUCACUGGAAAGUGGCGGGUCACUUGAAAUGCAGGUGCAGCUGGACUUUUCUCUGAGCUAUAAGCAUAUCUAUUUAGUCUGCCUAAAAAACAGAUUAUUACCUUUGCUGCAGCUAACAUAAAGGAGAUGAGUUCUUGUGCUGACUGAUGCAGGAUUCACAGAGACAGCUUUGCGGCUGACUUUGUAAACUCGAUCUCAAAUCAAGUAAGACUACCCGCUGAACUUAAGCAUACAAUAAGCGGAGGA
rnacentral:misc_RNA from 1 species